AAGUCGUAACAAGGUUUCCGUAGGUGAACCUGCGGAAGGAUCAUUAACACGUAUCCACGUAUCAACCAAUGAGAACCUGUUUUCCCGUCUCCCUGUGCAAAGAAUGAAUUGGAACCAGUUUGAGGGAGUGAUGGGACCGAAAGGUCGGCCUUCCUGGUAUACUUAUGUAAAUAGAAAUGUUUGCAUAGACAAUUGUAUUUUUGUUACAGGCUAUUUCUUAUCGCUUUGAUCCCCAUCAUGAUCGUGGCGGUAGGGAAACUUUCACUUUAUUUACCUUUUUUGCUAGUUGACUUUUUAUAUGUGUUGUCUUGCGAAAGCAUGGUGGCACACGUUUAUUAAUUGAACGUUAAAAAAUACAACUCUUAGCAAUGGAUAUCUUGGUUCUC
rnacentral:misc_RNA from 1 species